ACUGCAGCACCAGCCGUCUGCAGCUCCGGCCGCCACUUGCGCCUCUCCAGCCUCCGCAGGCCCAACCGCCGCCAGCACCAUGGCCAGCACCAUUUCCGCCUACAAGGAGAAGAUGAAGGAGCUGUCGGUGCUGUCGCUCAUCUGCUCCUGCUUCUACACACAGCCGCACCCCAAUACCGUCUACCAGUACGGGGACAUGGAGGUGAAGCAGCUGGACAAGCGGGCCUCAGGCCAGAGCUUCGAGGUCAUCCUCAAGUCCCCUUCUGACCUGUCCCCAGAGAGCCCUAUGCUCUCCUCCCCACCCAAGAAGAAGGACACCUCCCUGGAGGAGCUGCAAAAGCGGCUGGAGGCAGCCGAGGAGCGGAGGAAGGCAAGGAGUCCUCCAUCCCCCACCCCCCAGGAGUUUCAACGGAGGCGGCCCACGGGGACAGGGCCUGCAAGAAGCAGGGUGCUCCCGGACAGGCUUGACGCAGGAGGCGCAGGUGCUGAAGCAGCUGGCGGAGCGGCGCGAGCACGAGCGCGAGGUGCUGCACAAGGCGCUGGAGGAGAAUAACAACUUCAGCCGCCAGGCGGAGGAGAAGCUCAACUACAAGAUGGAGCUCAGCAAGGAGAUCCGCGAGGCACACCUGGCCGCACUGCGCGAGCGGCUGCGCGAGAAGGAGCUGCACGCGGCCGAGGUGCGCAGGAACAAGGAGCAGCGAGAAGAGAUGUCGGGCUAAGGGCCCGGGACGGGCGGCGCCCAUCCUGCGACAGAACACGUUCGGGUUUUGGUUUUGUUUCGUUCACCUCUGUCUAGAUGCAACUUUUGUUCCUCCUCCCCCACCCCCGCCCCCAGCUUCAUGCUUCUCUUCCGCACUCAGCCGCCCUGCCCUGUCCUCGUGGUGAGUCGCUGACCACGGCUUCCCCUGCAGGAGCCGCCGGGCGUGAGACGCGGUCCCUCGGUGCAGACACCAGGCCGGGCGCGGCUGGGUCCCCCGGGGGCCCUGUGAGAGAGGUGGCGGUGACCGUGGUAAACCCAGGGCGGUGGCGUGGGAUCACGGGUCCUUACGCUGGGCUGUCUGGUCAGCACGUGCAGGUCAGGGCAGGUCCUCUGAGCCGGCGCCCCUGGCCAGCAGGCGAGGCUACAGUACCUGCUGUCUUUCCAGGGGGAAGGGGCUCCCCAUGAGGGAGGGGCGACGGGGGAGGGGGGUGAUGGUGCCUGGGAGCCUGCGUGUGCAGCCGGUGCUUGUUGAACUGGCAGGCGGGUGGGUGGGGGCUGCAGCUUUCCUUAAUGUGGUUGCACAGGGGUCCUCUGAGACCACCUGGCGUGAGGUGGACACCCUGGGCCUUCCUGGAAGCCUGCAGUUGGGGGCCUGCCCUGAGUCUGCUGGGGAGUGGGCAUUCUCUGCCAGGGACCCAUGAGCAGGCUGCAUGGUCUAGAGGUUGUGGGCAGCAUGGACAGUCCCCCACUCAGAAGUGCAAGAGUUCCAAAGAGCCUCUGGCCCAGGCCCCUCCCCACCAGGGCUUUGCAGAUGUCCUUGAAAGACCCACCCUAGAGCCCUUUGGAGUGCUGGCCCCUCCUGUGCCCUCUGCCCUGGUGGAAGCGGCAGCCACAAGUCCUCCUCAGGGAGCCCCAAGGGGGAUUUUGUGGGACCGCUGCCCACAGAUCCAGGUGUUGGAAGGGCAGCGGGUAAGGUUCCCAAGCCAGCCCCAACACCCUUCCCACUUGGCACCCAGAGGGGGCUGUGGGUGGAGGCCUGACUCCAGGCCUCUCCUGCCCACACCCUCUGGGCUGAGUUCCUUCUUUCCCUUGGACGCCCAGUGCUGGCCUUGGAGGACGGUCAGCUGGAGGAUGGCGGUGGGGGAGGCUGUCUUUGUACCACUGCAGCAUCCCCCACUUCUCCACGGAAGCCCCAUCCCAAAGCUGCUGCCUGGCCCCUUGCUGUAAAGUGUGAAGGGGGCGGCUGAGUUCUCUUAGGACCCAGAGCCAGGGCCCUCAACUUCCAUCCUGCGGGAGGCCUUGGCCGGGCACUGCCAGUGUCUUCCAGAGUCACACCCAGGGACCACGGGAGGAUCCUGACCCCUGCAGGGCUCAGGGGUCAGCAGGGACCCACUGCCCCAUCUCCCUCUCCCCACCAAGACAGCCCCAGAAGGAGCAGCCAGCUGGGAUGGGAACCCAAGGCUGUCCACAUCUGGCUUUUGUGGGACUCAGAAAGGGAAGCAGAACUGAGGGCUGGGAUAUUCCUCAUGGUGGCAGCGCUCAUAGCGAAAGCCUACUGUAAUAUGCACCCAUCUCAUCCACGUAGUAAAGUGAACUUAAAAAUUCAAUCAAAUGAACAAUUAAAUAAACACCUGUGUGUUUAAGA